rnacentral:ncRNA from 2 species
GCCACUUUGGCCGGUGAUGGUGACCGCGUCCGCGCGGUCUGAAAAGGGAACGCGGUGCGGGGCCAUGCCCCAAAUCCGCGACUGCCCCCGCAACUGUAAGCGGCGAGCCAUCCCGAAGUGACCACUGGGCCGCACGGCCCGGGAAGGUUCGGGACUGCGCCUUGACCCGCAAGUCAGGAGACCUGCCAUCGCCGGGCGCCCUGC